CAAUUAAAAUGGCUAAAAUACAUCCUGGCAAACCAGCUUCUUCAUCUUCUUCCUGUUCAACCGAAAGAGAAACAUAUACUAUAUGGAUGAAAUCACUUGUGUUAAACUCAAAUGGGUAUACGGCCUACGAUUCCAGUGGAGAAGUCGUUUUCCGAAUAGAUAAUUAUGAUACCAAGUGUAGAAGUGAAGUUUAUUUAAUGGAUCUUCGUGGAAACAUAGUAUGCACAAUACUCCGAAAGAAACUACUGAAAUCCGGGCUCUGGGAUUGUUAUAACGAUAAAGAUUCUCGUACACCAUGGUUUAGCGUUUGAAAAACUUUUGGCUUUUUCAAGAAUAGUGGUUCCCUUUAUAAUGUUUUAGUUGGAACCAACGAGGAACAAAGCUCGAAUCAUCAUAAGAUGGAAGGAUCAGUGCACAGCUUAGAGUUCAAGAUAAUCGACGGUGGAGGACAAGUGGCAGCUGUGGUAGAAAGAAAACGAUCAUCUUCAGGAGUGGAGUUGGGUGAAGACGUAUUGUGUGUGACGGUGGAACCACAUGUGGAUCGUAUAUUCAUAAUGGCUCUAGUAGCGAUACAUGGGUUAAUUUGUGGCAAAAUGUAGAUGAUAUUCUUAGUUCCUCAUUUUUUUUUAAUACAUGGCACCUGUAUAUGCAAAAGUUGUAGUUGGUCCUUUUAGCCUACACGUAUCUAGUUAACACAUGAGGCUACGCUUUCUUUCAGUUUUGACCUGGUCAUGAUCAUACUUUCAUUUUCAGUUUAUUAGACGUUGGUAAUCCAGAUUCGAAUUAGU